rnacentral:rRNA from 1 species
UACGGAGGAUGCAAGCGUUAUCCGGAAUGAUUGGGCGUAAAGCGUCCGCAGGUGGCUAUGUAAGUCUGCUGUUAAAGAGUGAGGCUCAACCUCAUAAAAGCAGUUGAAACUACAUGGCUAGAGUGCGUUCGGGGCAGAGGGAAUUCCUGGUGUAGCGGUGAAAUGCGUAGAGAUCAGGAAGAACACCGGUGGCGAAAGCGCUCUGCUAGGCCGCAACUGACACUCAUGGACGAAAGCUAGGGGAGCGAAUGGG